GCAAGCGGCUGUGGAGUGUAUAGAAGUGAGAAUGCCGGAAUGAGUAGCGCGAAUGCAGUGAGAAUCUGCAUGGCCGAAAGCCUCAGGUUUCUGGAGGAAGGUUCGUCCGCUCCAGGUUAGUCGGGAGCUAAGGUGAGGCCUAACGGCGUAGCCGAUGCACAGACGGUAGAGAUUCCGUCACCACCAAAAGAGUUAAACACAGGGACACAUUUGAAGUCUCGGAGCCGGGUGUUGGUUCCGGUAGCGAUCGAGGGAAGUUAGUACCGAAGUCCGGGAUGGAAGAUGGCGAGAAAAGCUGUGUGUAUUUCUGCGGUGCCCGUACCGCAAACCGACACAGGUAGGUAGGAAGAAGAUUCUAAGGCCAACGGGAGAAGGGUUGUUAAGGAACUCGGCAAAUUGACCCCGUAACUUCGGGAGAAGGGGUGCUCCAGAGAUGGAGCCGCAGAGAAUCGGCCCAAGCAACUGUUUACCAAAAACACAGGUUUGUGCUAAAUCGAAAGAUGACGUAUACGAGCUGACGCCUGCCCGGUGCUGGAAGGUUAAGAGGAGAUGUGCAAGCAUUGAAUCGAUGCCCCAGUGAACGGCGGCCGUAACCAUAACGGUCCUAAGGUAGCGAAAUUCCUUGUCAGGUAAGUUCUGACCCGCAUGAAAGGCGUAAUGAUUUGGGCACUGUCUCGACAGCCCGCCCGGCGAAAUUGUAGUACCGGUGAAGAUGCCGGUUACCCGCGACAAGACGGAAAGACCCCAUGGAGCUUUACUGUAGCCUAAUAUUGGGUUUCGAUGUUGCAUGCACAGGAUAGAUGGGACACUGGGAAGUGAUUGCUUUGGCGGUCAUGGAGUGGCUGUUGGGAUACCAUCCUUGCGAUAUUGGAAUUCUAACCUGCGCCUUUGAAUCAAGGCGGGGGACAUUGUUAGGUGGGCAGUUUGACUGGGGCGGUCGCCUCCUAAAGAGUAACGGAGGCGUUCAAAGGUUCGCUCAGCUUGAACGGAAAUCAAGCAAGAGAGUGCAAACGCAGAAGCGAGCCUAACUGCGAGACUGACGGGUCGAGCAGUAACGAAAGUUGGAGUUAGUGAUCCGGUGGUAUGUGAGUGGAAAUGCCAUCGCUCAACGGAUAAAAGUUACCCUGGGGAUAACAGGCUGAUCUCCCCCAAGAGUCCACAUCGACGGGGAGGUUUGGCACCUCGAUGUCGGCUCAUCGCAUCCUGGGGCUGUAUUCGGUCCCAAGGGUUUGGCUGUUCGCCAAUUAAAGCGGUACGCGAGCUGGGUUCAGAACGUCGUGAGACAGUUCGGUCCCUAUCUGUCGUGGGCGCAGGAUAUUUGAUGGGAGCUGUUCCUAGUACGAGAGGACCGGAGCGGACGUACCUCUGGCGCACCAGUUGUUCUGCCAAGAGCAUAGCUGGGCAACUAUGUACGGAUCGGAUAAACGCUGAAAGCAUCUAAGCGUGAAGCCGACCCAAAGAUAAGAUAUCCCACUGAUUCGAUCAGGUAAGAUCCCUUGAAGACUACAAGGUUGAUAGGCACAAUGUGUAAGUGGAGUGAUCCAUUCAGCAUGCGUGUACUAAUAGAUCGAGGGCUUGACC
rnacentral:rRNA from 1 species